rnacentral:rRNA from 1 species
GUAGUUGGCCGGUGCUUCUUCUCGACCUACCGUCAACCCGUCAAAAAGACGAGCCUUCGUCGAUCGCGAAAGAGGUUUACAAUCCGAAAACCUUCAUCCCUCACGCGGCGUUGCUGGGUCAGGCUUUCGCCCAUUGCCCAAUAUUCCCCACUGCUGCCUCCCGUAGGAGUCUGGACCGUGUCUCAGUUCCAGUGUGGCCGAUCAGCCUCUCAGCUCGGCUACCCAUCGUCGACUUGGUGGGCCGUUACCCCGCCAACUAUCUAAUGGGACGCGAGCCCCUCCUUCAGCGAAUUGCUCCUUUGACCCCUCUACCAUGCGGUAGCGUGGUCUCAUGCGGUAUUAGCAGUAAUUUCUCACUGUUAUCCCCCUCUGAAGGACAGGUUGCUCACGCGUUACUCACCCGUUCGCCACUAACUCAAGGAGCAAGCUCCUCUCGUCCGUUCGACUUGCAUGUGUUAGGCACGCCGCCAGCGUUCGUCCUGAGCCAGGAUCAAACUCUGA